GUGUUCACUUGGCAGCGCAUAUACUAAAAUUGAAAUGGUACAGAGAAAAUUAGUAUGGCUCCCACACAAGGAUCAAACUUAAAUUCAUAAAGCAUUUCAUGUUUGG